rnacentral:rRNA from 1 species
AUGAAAUUUUCAUAUACGGCUCUUAGAGGGGGACUCGGGUUAGUUACCUAUCUCAAUAAAGUAUAUGAUUGGUUUGAGGAACGUCUUGAGAUUCAGGCAAGUGCAGAUGAUAUAACUAGUGAAUAUGUUCCUCCCCGCGUCAACAUAUUUUAUUGUGCUCCGGUGUAA